UAUUACCAGAAGCGACGGCGAGGAGUGAAGGUCAGACUAAAGAUCUUACCUCGACGAGCCGACGAGGUGGUGCAUGGCGGACCGUCAGCUCGUGGUGCGAACUAGUCCGGUUAAGUCGGUAACGAGCGAGACCUAUGAUAGUUGCAACCGGUCUAGCGAUAAACCGGGCACUCUAUUUGGACCGCCUCUGUUUAAAGAGGAGGAAGGAGGGGGCGACGAUACGUCAGUAUGCCCUGAAUCUCCUGGGCUACACGCGGCAUACAAAGGUCGAUACAAUGAGAUGCAAUGCCGAAAGGCAAAGCCAAACCCCUAAACGCCUAAGUUCGGAUUGAGGGCUGAAACUCGCCCUCAUGAAGAUGGGAUCCCCUAGUAAUCGCUUGUCCCUAUCGAGCGGUG
rnacentral:rRNA from 1 species